rnacentral:rRNA from 1 species
AUUGAACGCUGGCGGCAGGCCUAACACAUGCAAGUCGGACGGUAGCACAGAGGAGCUUGCUCCUCGGGUGACGAGUGGCGGACGGGUGAGUAAUGUCUGGGGAUCUGCCCGAUAGAGGGGGAUAACCACUGGAAACGGUGGCUAAUACCGCAUAACGUCGCAAGACCAAAGAGGGGGACCUUCGGGCCUCUCACUAUCGGAUGAACCCAGAUGGGAUUAGCUAGUAGGCGGGGUAAUGGCCCACCUAGGCGACGAUCCCUAGCUGGUCUGAGAGGAUGACCAGCCACACUGGAACUGAGUCACGGUCCAGACUCCUGCGGGAGGCAGCAGUGGGGAAUAUUGCACAAUGGGCGCAAGCCUGAUGCAGCCAUGCCGCGUGUAUGAAGAAGGCCUUCGGGUUGUUAAGUACUUUCAGCGGGGAGGAAGGCGGUGCGGUUAAUAACCGCGCCGAUUGACGUUACCCGCAGAAGAAGCACCGGCUAACUCCGUGCCAGCAGCCGCGGUAA